ensembl:lncRNA
CUGCUCCAGGGACAGACCAUGUUCCACUACAGGCAUUGUGGGCAGAUUGGACCGACACUGUAGCAACAGCUCUGGCCAUUCUGGGCCCGCCUGGCAAGUGUGGUGGCUUUGGGCCAGGAGAGGUGCUGGAGGUGGCCCACACAGCUGCUCAGGGGCCCUGUGAUCAGGGCCGUCCGUCAGGGAGUCACAUUCCCUGACAAGACUUGGACACUGCAGGGGGCGGUGCCUGCUGCUUUCCUUGUCAUCAGGGUCACUGCCCGGAGGCGUCUCCAGGAAGGGAGGGAGACAGAGCCCCAAGCUGGCUGGCACCAGACACCAGGGCUCCCAGAGCCCCGUCUCUGGGUGCUCAUUGUUGGCUCCACCUUUCCCCCUUGCCUGUCUUCCAUCUGGGGGUCCCAGAGCUGGGAGUGAGCCCCUCAGAGCUGGAGAGUGGAGAAGGCACCCCGCCCAGGCUGAUGAGGCCGGAGUUCCCAGGACCCUGGAGGCCUAGUGCAGCCCCCACCCCAUCUCUCCCUGGCCCCUGCGGCCCCAUACCUGCCUCCAGGCCCCCACAGCCCACAGGUGUCUUCCAGUACCCCCUCCCUCCACCAGAUUUGUCCUGCUGGCCGAGGAGGAGGCGGAGGAGUCGAGGGGCCUGGACGCCCCACACAGAGGUGGCCUGGGGAGCCGGCUGUCUGGAGCAACCCAUACAGUCCGAAGUGUUCCAGAAAACUCUGUCUGCCUGCUUCCUGUUCUUUUCAUUUCAAUUAAGUCGGCCCCUUGGGGCGCCUCACCAGAGACCCCUACAGCAGUAACGCAACAUCAGGGAUUCAGUGGGAGCCUGACCUUAAACGUCUGAAUGCAGGGCUAGGGGCCCAGCCAGGCCAGCCUCCGUGGGUGAGGGGCUCAGGCAGUGGGAGCCCAGCCAGGCAUAGCCACACACAGCCUGGUGGGGAAGGACUGACUGUCCACUUCCUCUUCUUUUUAUGUCACGCUAUGUUUUAAUUCUCCCAAAGGGGUCAGGCUGUCUUCCUCAGUCCUGGGCAGGGUCCUGGCAGCCGCCCUCCCACGCCCCCCAUCUCUCUGUUCGAGGCCCCGUGGGUUCUGUGUCAUGGAAUAAAGCCA